rnacentral:rRNA from 1 species
UGGGGAAUCUUGGACAAUGGGCGCAAGCCUGAUCCAGCCAUGCCGCGUGGAUGAUGAAGGCCCUAGGGUUGUAAAAUCCUUUCGUUGGGGACGAUAAUGACGGUACCCAAAGAAGAAGCUCCGGCUAACUUCGUGCCAGCAGCCGCGGUAAUACGAAGGGGGCUAGCGUUGUUCGGAAUUACUGGGCGUAAAGCGUACGUAGGCGGUGACUCAAGUCAGAGGUGAAAGCCUGGAGCUCAACUCCAGAACUGCCUUUGAAACUAGGUCGCUAGAAUCACGGAGAGGUGAGUGGAAUUCCGAGUGUAGAGGUGAAAUUCGUAGAUAUUCGGAAGAACACCAGUGGCGAAGGCGGCUCACUGGACGUGUAUUGACGCUGAGGUACGAAAGCGUGGGGAGCAAACAGGAUUAGAUACCCAAGUAGUCCCUGAGCGGGCUGGCAAGGCGCAU